rnacentral:lncRNA from 1 species
CUGGCACCUACUAUCAUACCCCGAUCAAAGGCACUAAAUCUCUUCAGGUGACAUCAACACGGGAUAGAUUUCUUACUCUCCCUCUCGAGGUUGCAAUUGUCUACUAAGUGAGGUCCUUUCAGUCAAAAAUACAUUUUGUGUCCAAGAUAUUAUAAAUUAUAGCUCUCUCUGCAAGGAUUUUGAUCAAAGAUAAAAAUUAAUAAAGUUAUAGCAACCAAAAUCAAUAAUAGGAUAAUCAAAGUAAUGGUCAUAAAGAUGUCAUUAGUUGAUGUGGGUGGAGGUGGGAUUGGCACAGGUGUGGUCGUUGAAGAUUUAGGUUUGGUUGAGUCAACUUUGUCCGUCACACUGUCAGGUUUUGUAGUUUUUUUUGUUGUUGUCGUCCGAGUUAUGUUGUGAUUUGAAGUAGUUGUUGCAGAAAAGGUAGAUGUUAAAGUAGAUGUCAAAUUCUGAGUUGUGAUUUCUGGGAGGGUACUCGAUGUUGAUAUACUCAGCCUCUCUGAAGAGGCUGUAAAUGUUGAUGUAACACGUGUUUUUGUAGCUGGAGGUUCCAGAGUGAUGGAAGAUGGGUUUUCUGUUUUUCCCUCAGUAGUUGAAGCAGAUAUUGAGGAUGUGAUUUUAGUUGUCAAUACAUUUCCAGGUGAGGUUGUUGCUGUUCGACUUUCUAUUGUAGCUGAUAUUCCGGUGGGGGUUAUCUCUGUAGUUACUGGAAUGGUUGAUAUUGAUGUCUCAAAUGUAGCUUUGGAUGUUUCUAAUGGUGAUUCUGUUGGUGGGGCUGUAGAUAUCCUUCCUGAUGUAACUGUAGACAGCGCUGCAGGUACAGUAAUAGCUGAAGAGUCACUUGGUGUAGAAACUGGAGUUUCAAGUGUAGUUAUUGAUGUCUCAGUUGUGGUUUUAAAUGUUUGAAGGGAGGCUGUUGACCGUUUUUCUACUGAGAUAGUGGUUGUGGUUCCAUCUGUUGUAAAUGUUUCAGAUAUGACGUUCACUGAUGUUUCACGUUUUGAUACUGCAGAUGUUGUAGUUAUGGAUGAUGUUUCCGUUUCGAUUGAUGGGGAUAUCAUGUAUGUGGUUGUGUAUGAUGGUUCGGUUGAUGGGGUUGUUGUGGAUGUGGAUGAUGUUUCAGGUUUGGUUAAUGGAGAUGUUGAGGUUGUGGAUGAUGUUUCAGUUUCGGUUGAUAGGGAUGUUGUAGUUGUGAAUGAUGUUUCGGUCGAUGGGAAUGUUGUGGCUGUGGAUGAUGUUUCAGGUGUGGUUGAUCUGGAUGUUGUAAUUGUGGAUGAUGUUUCAAAUGUUGUGGAUGUGGAUGAUGUUUCAGUUUCGGUUGAUGGGGAUGUCAAGUAUGUGGUUGUGUAUGACGUUUCAGGUUUGGUUGAUGCGGUUGUUUUGGAUGACGUUUCAAUUUCGGUUGAUGGGGAUGUUGUGGAUGAUAAUUCAGUUUCGGUUGAUGGGGAUGUUGUGGAUGAUGAUUCAGUUUCGGUUGAUGGGGUUGUUGUGGAUGUGGAUGAUAUUUUGGUUGAUGGGGUUGUUGUGGAUGUGGAUGAUAUUUUGGUUGAUGGGGUUGUUGUGGAUGUGGUUGUGUAUGAUGUUUCAGGUUCGGUUGAUGCGGUUGUUGUGGAUGUGGAUGACGUUUCGGUUGAUGGGGAUGUUGUGGAUGAUGAUUCAGUUUCGGUUGAUGGGGAUGUUGUGGAUGAUGAUUCAGUUUCGGUUGAUGGGGUUGUUGUGGAUGAUAUUUUGGUUGAUGGGGUUGUUGUGGAUGAUAUUUUGGUUGAUGGGGUUGUUGUGGAUGUGUAUGAUGUUUCAGGUUCGGUUGAUGCGGUUGUUGUGGAUGUGGAUGACGUUUUAAUUUCAGUUGAUGGGUAUGUUGUGGAUGUGAAUGAUGUUUCAAUUUCCGUUGAUGGGGAUGUUGUGGAUUUGGAUGAUGUUUCAGUUGAUGGGGUUGUUGUGGAUGUGGAUGAUGUUUCAGUUUCGGUUGAUGGGUAAGUAAUGUGUGUGGUUGUGUAUGCUGUUUCUGGUUCGGUUGGUGGAGAUGAUGUGCUUCUGGCUGUGGAUGAUGUUUCAGGUUUGGUUAAUGGGGAUGUAGUUGUGAAUGAUGUUGCAGUUAUGGUUGUUGGGAAUGUUGUAGUUGUGGAUGAUGUUUCAUUUUCGGUCAAUGGGAAUGUUGUGUAUGUGGCUGUGUAUGAUGUUUCAGGUUUGGUUGAAAGGAAUGUUGUAGUUGUGUAUGAUGUUUCAGGUUUGGUUGAUAUGGAUGUUGUAGUUGUGGAUGAUGUUUCAGUUUUAGUCGAUGGGAAUGUUGUGUAUGUGGCGGUGGGUGAUGUUUCAUGUUUGUUUGAUAUGGAUGCUGCAAUUGUGGAUGAUGUUUUAGUUUCGGUUGAUGGGGAUGUUGUAGUUGUGGAUGAUGUUUCAGGUACAGUUGAUGGGGAUGUUGUGUAUGUGGCUGUGGAUGAUGUUUCAGGUUUGGUUGAUGUGGAUGUUGCAGUUACGGUUGAUGGGAAUGUUGUAAGUGUGGAUGAUGUUUCAGGUUCAGUUGAUGGGAAUGUUAUGGCUGUGGAUGAUGUUUCAGGUUUGGUUGAUAUGGAUGUUGUAGUUGUGGAUGAUGUUUCAGUUGAUGGAAAUGUUGUAGUUGUGGAUGAUGUUUCAGGUUCGUUUGAUAGGGAUGUUGUGGUUGUGGAUGAUGUUUCAGUUUCGGUCGAUGGGAAUGUUGUAGGUGUGGAUGAUGUUUCGGUCGAUAGGGAUGUUGUAGUUAUGGAUGAGGUUUCAGGUUCGGUUGAUGGGAAUGUUGUGUAUGUGGAGGAUGUUUCAGGUUUGAGUGAUAUGGAUGUUGUAGUUGUGGCUGAUGUUUCAAUUGAUGGGAAUGUUGUAGUCGUGAAUGAUGUUUGAGGUACGGUUGAUAGGGAUGAUGUAGGUGUGGAUGAUGAUUCAGUUUCGGUCGAUGGGAAUGUUGUAGUUGUGUAUGAUGUUUCAGGUUCAGUUGAUGGGGAUGGUGUGUAUGUGGCUGUGGAUGAUGUUUCAGGUUUGGUUGAUAUGGAUGUUGUAGUUGUGGUUAAUGUUUCAGUUUCGGUGUGUGGGAUUGUUGUGUAUGUGGCUGUGGAUGCUGUUUUAGGUUCGGUUGAUGGGGGGAAUGUAGUUAUCCUUUCUGCUGUAACUGUUAACUGUUUUGCAGAUACAGUAAUAGUUGAAGAGUCACUUGUUGUAGAAGUUCUAGUUGAUGUAUCAGUUGGAGUUGUGGUUUGAUAUGCUUGAAAGUAGACUGUUGACAGUUUGUCUGUCGUAAAAGGUUCUUUAGUGACUUUCACAGAUGUUUCAGGUGCAGUUGAUGGGAAUGCUGUAUAAGUGGAUGAUGUUUUCGGUUUAGUUGAUGGGGUUGUGGAUGAUGUUUCAGGUGUGUUUAUAUCAGUUGUUUCAUAUGGAGUUGCACCUGUAGGAUUGUUUUCAUCUGUACGUUCUGUCGUAGCUAUAGCUUUAGUUUCCAAUGGGCUAUCAGGUGUAGGAACU